AGUGAACGCUGGCGGUAGGCCUAACACAUGCAAGUCGAACGGCAGCACAGUAAGAGCUUGCUCUUACGGGUGGCGAGUGGCGGACGGGUGAGGAAUACAUCGGAAUCUACUUUUUCGUGGGGGAUAACGUAGGGAAACUUACGCUAAUACCGCAUACGACCUACGGGUGAAAGCAGGGGAUCUUCGGACCUUGCGCGAUUGAAUGAGCAGAUGUCGGAUUAGCUAGUUGGCGGGGUAAAGGCCCACCAAGGCGACGAUCCGUAGCUGGUCUGAGAGGAUGAUCAGCCACACUGGAACUGAGACACGGUCCAGGCUCCUACGGGAGGCAGCAGUGGGGAAUAUUGGACAAUGGGCGCAAGCCUGAUCCAGCCAUACCGCGUGGGUGAAGAAGGCCUGCGGGUUGUAAAGCCCUUUUGUUGGGAAAGAAAAGCAGCAGGUUAAUACCCCGCUGUUCUGACGGUACCCAAAGAAUAAGCACCGGCUAACUUCGU
rnacentral:rRNA from 1 species